UACAGAGGGGGCGAGCGUUAUUCGGAAUUACUGGGCGUAAAGGGCGCGUAGGCGGCCUUCUAAGUCGAACGUGAAAUCCCCGGGCUCAACCCGGGAACUGCGUCCGAUACUGGAAGGCUUGAAUCCGGGAGAGGGAUGUGGAAUUCCAGGUGUAGCGGUGAAAUGCGUAGAUAUCUGGAGGAACACCGGUGGCGAAGGCGGCGUUCUGGACUGUUUCUGACACUGAAAAACGAAAGCCAGGGGAGCAAACGGG
rnacentral:rRNA from 1 species